GGAUGAACGCUGGCGGCGUGCCUACUACAUGCAAGUCGAGCGAACAGACGAGGAGCUUGCUCCUCUGACGUUAGCGGCGGACGGGUGAGUAACACGUGGAUAACCUACCUAUAAGACUGGGAUAACUUCGGGAAACCGGAGCUAAUACCGGAUAAUAUAUUGAACCGCAUGGUUCAAUAGUGAAAGACGGUUUUGCUGUCACUUAUAGAUGGAUCCGCGCCGCAUUAGCUAGUUGGUAAGGUAACGGCUUACCAAGGCGACGAUGCGUAGCCGACCUGAGAGGGUGAUCGGCCACACUGGAACUGAGACACGGUCCAGACUCCUACGGGAGGCAGCAGUAGGGAAUCUUCCGCAAUGGGCGAAAGCUUGACGGAGCAACGCCGCGUGAGUGAUGAAGGUCUUCCGAUCGUAAAACUCUGUUAUUAGGGAAGAACAAAUGUGUAAGUAACUAUGCACGUCUUGACGGUACCUAAUCAGAAAGCCACGGCUAACUACGUG
rnacentral:rRNA from 1 species